rnacentral:rRNA from 1 species
AUGCAAGUCGAGCGGAAACGAGUUAUCUGAACCUUCGGGGAACGAUAACGGCGUCGAGCGGCGGACGGGUGAGUAAUGCCUAGGAAAUUGCCUUGAUGUGGGGGAUAACCAUUGGAAACGAUGGCUAGUACCGCAUAACGCCUACGGGCCAAAGAGGGGGACCUUCGGGCCUCUCGCGUCAAGAUAUGCCUAGGUGGGAUUAGCUAGUUGGUGAGGUAAUGGCUCACCAGGGCGACGAUCCCUAGCUGGUCUGAGAGGAUGAUCAGCCACACUGGAACUGAGACACGGUCCAGACUCCUACGGGAGGCAGCAGUGGGGAAUAUUGCACAAUGGGCGCAAGCCUGAUGCAGCCAUGCCGCGUGUAUGAAGAAGGCCUUCGGGUUGUAAAGUACUUUCAGCAGUGAGGAAGGGGGUGUCGUUAAUAGCGGCAUUUCUUGACGUUAGCUGCAGAAGAAGCACCGGCUAACUCCGUGCCAGCAGCCGCGG